CCGUAGCCCAAGAGACUGGGAUAACACCUGGAAACAGAUGCUAAUACCGGAUAACAACACUAGACGCAUGUCUAGNGUUUAAAAGAUGGUCUGCUAUCACUCUUGGAUGGACCUGCGGUGCAUUAGCUAGUUGGUAAGGUAACGGCUUACCAAGGCAAUGAUGCAUAGCCGAGUUGAGAGACUGAUCGGCCANAUUGGGACUGAGACACGGCCCAAACUCCUACGGGAGGCAGCAG
rnacentral:rRNA from 1 species